UCAGAUCGUGGGUUGCGGCGCCCGCUCCCCUGCCUGCGCCGCCGGCUCCAGCGACUCCUUGCGUCUCUGGCGCCCGUCACGCCCCUCCUCCCGCGCCGCACCCUACUAGCGACGUCGCUCUCCUCCUCCCGGCGUGCCCAUCGCCGCCACCGCCCCCGCCAAUCCCGGCGAGUCCCACACGAUUGGUCUGCUGGUGAUGCCCUCUGCAGCUCCAUCUCCGUCCCAUCUUGUCGAUCCACGACCAUCCUACAUUUCUGGAGAUCGAGGAUGAAUUUGGCACCGAGGCACUGACGCCCUCGAUGGAUCGUGAUGCGGUUGUGGAAGAGGCUCGGCAGUGUCUAGGACCGGGGGCAUACAGAGGCGCGGCGCGAUGACAGCUCGAUUGCGGCGCCGUGCAGAAGCCCCAUAGGCCCCUUAUGGCAUUCCACGGCCACCUCCCAUCUGCUGAUUGAAGAUUGAUGCUUCAAACAGUCGUUUCCCCUAUUUCUGCAACCUUAAUUAGCAGCUGCUACAUGGCGCACCCGAUGGCUUGCUGACGGCCUCCCUAUGAUGCUGAGGACGCAAAUCCACUUUGAUGCUGGCGACGUGUUGUCCUGUGCAAGAUCAAGAACAAAACAUCAAAUGCGUAUUGCAUAAAGCACGAGAGCAACAAAUUACUUGUGUUGAUCUUGAUCCACCGCGGAAGAGGGUUUGGACUCGACCGGAGCACUGCGGUAGACAGGACGCAGGCCCUGGGAACCCCCGGCAUGCUCCACGCUCAUGGACGGAGCGGACACCAUACAGGCGCAGGUGGAGAUGUAUACCCUGCGUCGCAGCUUUGUCUCUUGCAUGAUUCAUCCAGG